rnacentral:tRNA from 1 species
GAGGGUAUAGUUUCAGUGGUAGAGCACACGCUUAGCAUGCAUGAGGUCCUGGGUUCAAUCCCCAGUACCUCCA